rnacentral:rRNA from 1 species
CCGGCGCACGGGUGAGUAACACGUAUGCAAUCCACCUGUAACAGGGGGAUAACCCGGAGAAAUCCGGACUAAUACCCCAUAAUAUGGGCGCUCCGCAUGGAGAGUUCAUUAAAGAGAGCAAUUUUGGUUACAGACGAGCAUGCGCUCCAUUAGCCAGUUGGCGGGUAACGGCCCACCAAGGCGACGAUGGAUAGGGGUUCUGAGAGGAAGGUCCCCCACAUUGGAACUGAGACACGGUCCAA